UACAGAGGGGGCAAGCGUUGUUCGGAAUUACUGGGCGUAAAGCGUGCGUAGGUGGUUCGUUAAGUCUGAUGUGAAAGCCCUGGGCUCAACCUGGGAAUGUCAUUGGAUACUGGCGAUCUAGAGUGCGGUAGAGGGCAGUGGAAUUCCCGGUGUAGCAGUGAAAUGCGUAGAGAUCGGGAGGAACAUCUGUGGCGAAGGCGACUGCCUGGACCAGCACUGACACUGAGGCACGAAAGCGUGGGGAGCAAACAGG
rnacentral:rRNA from 1 species